rnacentral:rRNA from 1 species
GGGUGCAAGCGUUAAUCGGAAUUACUGGGCGUAAAGCGUGCGCAGGCGGUUGUGUAAGACAGGUGUGAAAUCCCCGGGCUUAACCUGGGAAUUGCAUUUGUGACUGCACGACUAGAGUGUGUCGGAGGGGGGUGGAAUUCCACGUGUAGCAGUGAAAUGCGUAGAUAUGUGGAGGAACACCAAUGGCGAAGGCAGCCCCCUGGGAUAACACAGACGCUCAUGCACGAAAGCGUGGGGAGCAAACAGGAUUAGAUACCCUGGUAGUCCACGCCCUAAACGAUGUCAACUAGUUGUUGGGGAUUUACUUCCUUGGUAACGUAGCUAACGCGUGAAG